CCUACGGGCGGCAGCAGUGAGGAAUAUUGGUCAAUGGUCGGGAGACUGAACCAGCCAAGCCGCGUGAGGGAGGAAGGUACAGAGUAUCGUAAACCUCUUUUGUCAGGGAACAAAGACUGGGACGCGUCCCCGGAUGAGUGUACCUGAAGAAAAAGCAUCGGCUAACUCCGUGCCAGCAGCCGCGGUAAUACGGAGGAUGCGAGCGUUAUCCGGAUUUAUUGGGUUUAAAUGGUGCGCAGGCGGUCUGUUAAGUCAGCGGUAAAGCCCGGGGGCAAACCCCGGGCCGCGGUUGAAACUGGCAGUCUCGAGUUGGAGAGAAGUAUGCGGAAUGCGCGGUGUAGCGGUGAAAUGCAUAGAUAGCGCGCAGAACUCCGAUUGCGAAGGCAGCAUGCCGGCUCCACACUGACGCUGAGGCACGAAAGCGUGGGUAUCGAACAGGAUUAGAUACCCCAGUAGUC
rnacentral:rRNA from 1 species